rnacentral:rRNA from 1 species
AUUGAACGCUGGCGGCAGGCCUAACACAUGCAAGUCGAACGAGUGGCGGACGGGUGAGUAAUGUCUGGGAAACUGCCUGAUGGAGGGGGAUAACUACUGGAAACGGUCGCUAAUACCGCAUACCAUCAGAUGUGCCCAGAUGGGAUUAGCUAGUUGGUGGGGUAACGGCUCACCAAGGCGACGAUCCCUAGCUGGUCUGAGAGGAUGACCAGACAAACUGGACCGGAGACACGGGCCAGACUCCAACGGGAGGCAGCAGUGGGGAAUAUUGCACAACGGGCGCAAGCCUGAAGCAGCCAUGCCGCGUGGAUGAAGAGGGCCUUCGGGUUGUAAAGUACUUUCAGCGGGGAGGCGGUACCCGCAGAAGAAGCACCGGCUAACUCCGUGCCAGCAGCCGCGGUAAUAC